CUACGGGACGCUCCAGGCGCGAAACCUUCACAAUGCACGCAAGUGUGAUGGGGGGACUCCAAGUGUUCUUGUUUUACAAGAACUUUUGUGAUGUGAAAAUAGCAUCACGAAUAAGAGCUGGGUAAGACGGGUGCCAGCCGCCGCGGUAAUACCCGCAGCUCGAGUGGUCUGGAGUAUUAUUGGGUCUAAAGCGUUCGUAGCCGGACUCGUUAGUUCUCUGUGAAAUCUGGCAGCCUAACUGUCAGGCGGGCAGAGAAUACUGCGAGUCUUGAGACCGGGAUGGGCCAAAGGUACUCUUUGGGUAGGGGUGAAAUCCGAUAAUCCAGAGGGGACCACCAGUGGCGAAAGCGUUUGGCUAAAACGGGUCUGACGGUGAGGGACGAAAGCUAGGGGAGCGAACGGGAUUAGAUACCCCUGUAGUC
rnacentral:rRNA from 1 species